rnacentral:SRP_RNA from 1 species
GCUGGGCAUGGUGGUGCAUGCCUGUAAUCCCAGCUACUCCGGAGGCUGAGGCAGGAGUAUUGCUUGAACCUGGGAGGGGGAGGUUGCAGUGAGCCGAGAUUACGCCACUGCACUCCAGCCUGGGUGACAGAGCGAGACUCUGUCUCAA